GUUGAACGCUGGCGGCGUGCCUAACACAUGCAAGUCGAGCGGAUAGAGGGGGCUUUCUCCUGGAUUCAGCGGCGGACGGGUGAGUAAUGCCUAGGAAUCUGCCUGGUAUUUGAGAAUAAGAUCCCUAAAGGGACGCGAAUCCCGCAUCGGUCCUGAUGUUGAAAGGGGUGGUUCUUCAGUCCAAGCCCUUUUAGAUGACCCUAGUUCGGAUUAGCUAGUUGGUGGGGUAAGGGCCUACCAAGGCGACGAUCCGUAACUGAUCUGAGAGGAUGAUCAGCCACACUGGAACUGAGACACGGUCCAGACUCCUACGGGAGGCAGCAGUAGGGAAUAUUGGGCAAUGGGCGAAAGCCUGACGGAGCAACGCCGCGUGAGUGAUGAAGGUCUUCGGAUCGUAAAACACUGUAAGUAGGGAGGAAGGAAAGUAAGUUAAACCAUUGAUGUCUUGACGUUACCAACAGAGAAAGCCACGGCUAACUUCGUG
rnacentral:rRNA from 1 species